CCUACGGGUGGCAGCAGUAGGGAAUCUUCCACAAUGGGCGCAAGCCUGAUGCAGCAACACCGCGUGAGUGAAGAAGGGUUUCGGCUCGUAAAGCUCUUUUUUUGGAGAAGAACGUGCGUGAGAGUAACUGUUCACGCAGUUACGUUAUCAAACCAGAAAGUCACAGCUAACGACGUGCCAGCAGCCGCGGUAAUACGUCGGUGGCAAGCGUUAUCCGGAUUUAUUGGGCGUAAAGGGAGCGUAGGCGGUUGCUUAGGUCUGAUGUGAAAGCCUUCGGCUUAACCGUAGAAGUGCAUCGGAAACUGGGAGACUUGAGUGCAGAAGAGGAAAGUGGAACUCGAUGUGUAGCGGUGGAAUGCUUAGAUAUAAGGAAGAACACCAGUGGCGAAGGCGGCUGUCUGGUCUGCAACUGACGCUGAGGCUCGAAAGUAUGGGUAGCGAACAGGAUUAGAUACCCGGGUAGUC
rnacentral:rRNA from 1 species